rnacentral:rRNA from 1 species
ACUGUGAUCUCUGUGAAUUUAGCUGGUGAACGUGGUUUGAACUUGGUCAAAUUGGUUGUUAUUUGGGGUCUGCUUAGCUGCAGGUCUCCGCCUAUGGUGGAGAUGCGCGAGGCACUUAUCAGGUGUUGCGCGCCUCAGGUGAAUCGGACCAGUUCGCCAGUGCAUUUUCACAGAGUGUUCACCACGACCGGCAUCGCUGUCCGGCUGGUAUGGUUAAACCGGUCUUGCAUUGUCCUCGUGGCUUUGCUUGGUCGGGAUGGCAGGUAGCUCUUGGGCUUGCUCGCAGUUCGCUGUGGGUUCAGGUCCUUGAGUGUAAACAGCUGACCGUAUCGGUUCUGUGCAGUAUGUCGGAGACGGCGGCUUGUGGUGUGUGCGUGCGUGCCAGUUGGCUGGCGAGUCCGGGUUUGGUUAUUAUGUUGCCUGUGUUGGCAGGCCUAAUGAUAGCUCGGAUUCGUUCGGCUGACGGUUGCGUGCGUGUCACUUUCCAGGGCCAAUAGUCUGUGGUGUUGCGGUAGACUUUCCACCUGACCCGUCUUGAAACACGGACCAAGGAGAGUAACAUGUACGCGAGUCAUUGGGCGUAACGAAACCCAAAGGCGAAGUGAAAGUAAAGGUCUGGCUUGUCUAGACUGAGGUGAGAUCCUGUCGUUUCUCACACGUGGUAUCCCCAAGUAUCGAACGGCAGGCGCAUCACCGGCCCGUCCCAUGGUGUGGUGACACUUCAGUGUUCGUCAUCGGGGCGGAGCAUGAGCGUACAUGUUGAGACCCGAAAGAUGGUGAACUAUGCUUG